UGCAAGUCGAACGGUAACAGGAAGCAGCUUGCUGCUUUGCUGACGAGUGGCGGACGGGUGAGUAAUGUCUGGGAAACUGCCUGAUGGAGGGGGAUAACUACUGGAAACGGUAGCUAAUACCGCAUAAUGUCGCAAGACCAAAGAGGGGGACCUUCGGGCCUCUUGCCAUCGGAUGUGCCCAGAUGGGAUUAGCUGGUAGGUGGGGUAACGGCUCACCUAGGCGACGAUCCCUAGCUGGUCUGAGAGGAUGACCAGCCACACUGGAACUGAGACACGGUCCAG
rnacentral:rRNA from 1 species